GGUUCAGUGGUAGAAUUCUCGCCUUCUAUGCAGGAGACCCGGGUUCGAUUCCUGG
rnacentral:tRNA from 1 species